rnacentral:rRNA from 1 species
CCUACGGUGUGCUGCAGUAGGGAAUUUUCGUCAAUGGGCGCAAGCCUGAACGAGCGAUGCCGCGUGAGUGAAGAAGGCCUUCGGGUCGUAAAGCUCUGUUGCGGGGGAAAAAAGGCAGCAUCAGGAAAUGGGUGCUGACUGAUGGUGCCCCGCCAGAAAGUCACGGCUAACUACGUGCCAGCAGCCGCGGUAAUACGGGGGGGGCGAGCGUUAUCCGGAAUGAUGGGGCGAAAGGGUGCGCAGGGGGUCCUGCAAGUCUGGGGGGAAACGCAUGAGCUGAACUCAUGCAUGGCUUUGGAAACUGGAGGACUGGAGAGCAGAAGAGGGCGGUGGAACUCCAUGUGUAGCGGUAAAAUGCGUAGAUAUAUGGAAGAACACCAGUGGCGAAGGCGGCCGCCUGGCCUGUUGCUGACGCUGAGGCACGAAAGCGUGGGGAGCAAAUAGGAUUAGAUACCCUUGUAGUC